rnacentral:sRNA from 1 species
ACAUCCAGGACCACUCCUGUGUGAGGGCCGGCU